GCCGGCGACCGGCGCACGGGUGAGUAACACGUAUGGAACCUGCCCGCCACAGGGGGAUAACCCGGGGAAACCCGGCCUAAUACCCCAUGCCGCCCGGACCGGGCAUCCGGUCCGGGCGAAAGGAGGAAUCCGGUGGCGGCUGGGCAUGCGGCGCAUUAGCUUGACGGCGGGGUAACGGCCCACCGUGGCGACGAUGCGUAGGGGUUCUGAGAGGAAGGCCCCCCCACACUGGAACUGAGACACGGUCCAGACUCCUACGGAAGGCAGCAG
rnacentral:rRNA from 1 species